UUCUUUGUCUAUGGAAGGAACUGUGAAGGAAAGCGGGGAACCGGGGGGAACACCAAAAAAGGGGAAUCACUAACCAGUAACCACUAACCACCAAAGUGGUUAUCUACAUCUGGUGUUUCCAAAAUAGAUGCUGCAAAAUCUGCAGAUCCUCCCAUUAUUACUGCUUCUGUUCGUCCUACAUCAGAACAUAGUAGCUGUUCAGACUCUCGUAUAGCAGGCCCUAGAAGCCAGCCAGAUUCCCCUAUACAAAACUCCAGCAGUCAGCCAGAUUCUCCUGUACCAGGCCCUAGUGGGAGGCGGCAUUCCAGUAUUACAGACUCGGAUUCUAGUAGUGAUGAAUCCACUGGCACAAAAGCUGUUUUAAAAAGGCGAAAAGUAACUACAACCAGUUAUAAACAAAAAUUUCGGGAUAAAUGGUGUGAAGAUAAAAGAUAUGCAAAUUGGUGCAAAUCAUCAUCGGAUGGAAGUUCAGCAUUCUGUACUGUUUGUGACAAAAAAAUAAUUGGAGGAAUUACUCAUAUAAAAAGGCACAGUAUAACGUUACUACAUAAAAAAAA
rnacentral:misc_RNA from 1 species